rnacentral:rRNA from 1 species
GAUGAACGCUGGCGGCGUGCCUAAUACAUGCAAGUCGAGCGAACGGACGAGAAGCUUGCUUCUCUGAUGUUCGCGGCGGACGGGUGAGUAACACGUGGAUAACCUACCUAUAAGCCUGGGAUAACUUCGGGAAACCGGAGCUAAUACCGGCUAAUAUUUUGAACCGCAUGGUUCACAAGUGAAAGACGGUCUUGCUGUCACUUAUAGAUGGAUCCGCGCUGCAUUAGCUAGUUGGUAAGGUAACGGCUUACGAAGGCAACGAUGCAUAGCCGACCUGAGAGGGUGAUCGGCCACACUGGAACUGAGACACGGGCCAGACUCCUACGGGAGGCAGCAGUAGGGAAUCUGCCGCAAAGGGCGAAAGCCUGACGGAGCAGCGCCGCGUGAGUGAUGAAGGUCUUCGGAGCGUAAAACUCUGUUAUUAGGGAAGAACAUAUGUGUAAGUAACUGUGCACAUCGUGACGGUACCUAAUCAGAAAGCCACGGCUAACUACGUG